UGGAUGGAGAGUUUGAUCCUGGCUCAGAACGAACGCUGGCGGCGUGCUUAACACAUGCAAGUCAGGGGGAAUCCUCUCUUCGGAGAGGUAGUACACCGGCGCACGGGUGAGUAACGCGUGAGUAACCUACCCAUUAGACCUGGAUAACCCGGCGAAAGUUGGGCUAAGACAGGAUGUGUUAAUAGGCUUAAUGGUGUAUUGAUAAAGGCAGGUUUCGGCUUGUGCUAAUGGAUGGGCUCGCGUCUGAUUAGCUAGUUGGUAAGGUAAAGGCUUACCAAGGCGACGAUCAGUAGGCGGCCUGAGAGGGUGGUCGCCCA
rnacentral:rRNA from 1 species